GAAGGUCUACACAACAAGGAGCAACUCUUCCAUGUAGAACUGGCGGCCACUUUCCACAAACUGUCCAACAUAACACUAGAUUUUUUAUGUAACUUAUUAAUCAUUUAAUAAAUAAAUAUCUUAACUAUUAUAUCUUUUAUAAUAUUUUUUCUUACAUUUAAUAUAUUAUGAUUUUAAUUAUUACAUAAUCAUAAAAAAAAUUACACUUAAUAAAAA
rnacentral:lncRNA from 1 species